rnacentral:rRNA from 1 species
GACAGAGGAUGCAAGCGUUAUCCGGAAUGAUUGGGCGUAAAGCGUCUGUAGGUGGCUUUUUAAGUCCGCCGUCAAAUCCCAGGGCUCAACCCUGGACAGGCGGUGGAAACUACCAAGCUGGAGUACGGUAGGGGCAGAGGGAAUUUCCGGUGGAGCGGUGAAAUGCGUAGAGAUCGGGAGGAACACCUGUGGCGAAGGCGGCGAUCUGGGUCGAUACUGACGCUGAGGUGCGAAAGCGUGGGGAGCAAACAGG